ACUUUGAGCAAAAAAAUUCCCUCAAAUCUCUCACCACCUGCAUUUUUCCUUUUCCACCCUGCAAAAUCUGGGAUUGUACAUAAACUAUAGAAGAUUUUAUACUGAAAAAGUGAGAAUGUUGGUUAAUAAUGGCUGGGAAUCAAGAAAAAUUGAGGGCUUUAAGACCUUUACUAACAGUUGUAUGGAGCUUUCUGUUGGCUUCAAUAUUUGUUUCUGCUGAAAUAAGAAGCUCAAAGCAGAAAUUUUCAACACAUAGUGCAACAUUCUGAUUUAGAUAUUUUAACAAAUUAUCAAAAUUUUACACUAAAAGCAACAAAUCUGGGUACCAGCAUGUUUGGCCGGCGUGUUAAAUCAUUUAUUCUGUUACUUUUUAAUUUUCAAAUUCAAUUUGUCUAGUGCUUUAAUAUAUAUUUGAUUUGAGUUCAAUCUACAAUUCUGGUUUCAUAUUUAUUUUUGCAUGAUAUUUUUAUUUGUUGAGUACUUAUUGAUAUUGGAAUUUGGAGGUUGGGAUGGAUAAUUUGGAUUUUGUUUUCAUUUUUAUUUUUUCAAGAAUUGAUCUUUGUGAAUCCACGGGGGUUUUUGUUCUUUGGUUUCUUGGUUGGUUUUUGAAUUCCGGAGGGCUAUGAGUAGGUUGGAUUGAAGUAUUGACAAGUGUUUUAAUCUCUUCAUAAUACAUUUUUUCUUGAACGUACAUGUUUGUGCUUGUAUGUGUUUGUGUGUGUGAGCAAAAGCUAGUUCAUAAAGUUGGCCUCAGAUACAAUGAGUGACAGAACUUCCUUAAGCCAGGGAAAAUCAUAUAUUUAAACUUUUUUGGGAGGGGGGCAGGGCAAUGUACAUUUAUAAAUUGUAUUGUUACCAUUUGAAAAAGGCUUUUCUUGGUUGAGUUUUUUUCAUGUUUUGAAUUGGACGUUCUAUCGUUAUGGAAGGCUUGUAACUAGUGACAAUCUGGUAUGUCGUCUACAGGAUCUGAAAUUCAACUAGCAACUUCUUGUUGGUAGCAUAAUUGGAUUUUUCGGAGCAUCUUUUGGAAUUGUUGGUGGUGGUUGGAUAUUUUUUCCCAUUCUUACUCUGGUUAUUGGAUUUGAUCCGAAAUCAUCAGCUGCUAUCUCAAAAUUCUUGACUGUUUACUACAAUCUUAAGCUCGGGCAUCCUACUAUUGACAUUCCAAUUAUCGACUAUGACUUGGUUGUUCUCGUCCAACCUAUGCUUAUGCUAGGCAUUAGCAUUGGAGUUGCUUUCAAUGUGAUAUUUGCCAAUUGGAUGGUCAUUGUUCUCUAUAUAGGAAACAACGAUGAACAUGGUGAAAUUCAGGAAAAAGAAGUGAAAAGGACUAAAAUGACGCAAAGUGAAAGUUCAGGGACCAAGGUGCAAUUAUCCAAAAGUUGACUCGAUGAACAAAUCGAGAAAUUGAUUAAGCCAAUUACCAAUUGAUGAUAUCUUGGGAUGAUGGAAUCGAAAGAAUGAAGAAAUGAUGUCAAGAAGUGAAGGAUUCAAGUAGGAUGACCAAAAUGAACACCUUUCAUAGUUGGUAGACUGCAUACUGCUACCCUCUAUGCGGUCGCAUAGAGCCAAACCGAACUUAAAAUGACAGAAUUUUUACUCUAUGCGACCGCAUAGAGUUGCUCUAUGCGGUCACAUAGAGCAAUUCUCAGGUAAAAUUGCAGUUUCCUUUUUCCGCCAAAACUCUUAUGGAAACAAUAUUUUUAGGGUCCUAUAUAAACAAAAACUUGACCAGAAUGAAGGGGAUGCCAUUUUUACAAGUUUUUGAGAGAUUUUGAAGGAGAAACGUGGAGAGAACAAGAGGACAACAUCGCGUCAAGUGAAGAUUGAUUCGGGUGAUGACGUUUCUUCAGCUAUUUUUAUGUUUUCUUCUUUUUAGCAUUUAGGCUAGAUUUUUCAUUGCUAGGAGAUCGACGAACCUUGUAAUACUACGUUUGAUUUUUUAUUUGGAUAUUUGACAUCUUUAAAUGCAUAUUCCGGAAUUGAAUGGUUUA